GUGUGGUUUGCUGGCACAGCGUCCGCCCCAAGUAUUUUUCACCCAUGUCUUUUGCGCACUUUUUGUUUCCUGGGCGAGUUCGCUCGCCACCAGGACCCAACCAUAAACCUUUUUUUAUGCAGUUGCAAUCAGCGUCAGUAUAAUAAUUCAAUUUAUUAAAACUUUCAACAACGGAUCUCUUGGUUCUGGCAUCGAUGAAGAACGCAGCGAAAUGCGAUACGUAGUGUGAAUUGCAGAAUUCAGUGAAUCAUCGAAUCUUUGAACGCACAUUGCGCCCUUUGGUAUUCCAAAGGGCAUGCCUGUUCGAGCGUCAUUUGUACCCUCAAGCUUUGCUUGGUGUUGGGCGUCUUUUUGUCUCUCCCCUUGUUGGGGGAGACUCGCCUUAAAACGAUUGGCAGCCGACCUACUGGUUUUCGGAGCGCAGCACAAAUUUGCGCCUUCCAAUCCACGGGGCGGCAUCCAGCAAGCCUUUGUUUUCUAUAACAAAUCCACAUUUUGACCUCGGAUCAGGUAGGGAUACCCGCUGAACUUAAGCAUAUCAAUAAGCGGAGGAA
rnacentral:rRNA from 1 species